GUCCCCCUCCGAACGCAACGAACGUUCCGGUCCAAUCCCAACGGAAAACGUAGCCGGUUUAAACUGUCUGAGGCCAAGCGGGGUGAGGAGGGUCGCGUUGCAACUGCGAGGAGGGACCAGGCCUCAAAGACCAGAAUGAACCAGGAUGGUCAAGUGUUGGGGCAUGAGCAUCGCAGGAUCCCGGGUCCAGCUGGAGCGUGGCAAUUUUUGGCCUUGAGCUUCCACACCGGAUUAGCU